CCUGGUGGCUCAGAUGGUAAAGCGUCUGCCUACAAUGCAGGAGACCAGGGUUCAAUCCCUGGGUCGGGA
rnacentral:tRNA from 1 species